UAACGGCUCACCAAGGCAACGAUGGGUAGCUGGUCUGAGAGGACGAUCAGCCACACUGGGACUGAGACACGGCCCAUACUCCUACGGGAGGCAGCAGUGGGGAAUCUUGCGCAAUGCGCGAAAGCGUGACGCAGCACCGCCGCGUGGGGGAAGAAGGCCUUCGGGUUGUAAACCCCUUUCAGUUGCGACGAAGCUCCGUCGGUGAAUAGCCGGCUGGAGUGACGGUACCUUCAGAAGAAGCCCCGGCUAACUACGUGCCAGCAGCCGCGGUAAUACGUAGGGGGCAAGCGUUGUCCGGAAUCAUUGGGCGUAAAGAGCGUGUAGGCGGCUCGGUAAGUCCGCUGUGAAAGUCCAGGGCUCAACCCCUGGAAUGCCGGUGGCUACUGUCGAGCUAGAGUCCGGAAGGAGGCGAGUGGUAAUUCCUGGUGUAGCGGAUGAAAUG
rnacentral:rRNA from 1 species